rnacentral:rRNA from 1 species
GGGUUGUGAGGUUAAGCGACUAAGCGUACACGGUGGAUGCCCUGGCAGUCAGAGGCGAUGAAGGACGUGCUAAUCUGCGAUAAGCGUCGGUAAGGUGAUAUGAACCGUUAUAACCGGCGAUUUCCGAAUGGGGAAACCCAGUGUGAUUCGUCACACUAUCAUUAACUGAAUCCAUAGGUUAAUGAGGCGAACCGGGGGAACUGAAACAUCUAAGUACCCCGAGGAAAAGAAAUCAACCGAGAUUCCCCAGUAGCGGCGAGCGAACGGGGAGCAGCCCAGAGCCUGAAUCAGUGUGUGUGUUAGUGGAAGCGUCUGGAAAGGCGCGCGAUACAGGGUGACAGCCCCGUACACAAAAAUGCACAUACUGUGAGCUCGAUGAGUAGGGCGGGACACGUGGUAUCCUGUCUGAAUAUGGGGGACCAUCCUCCAAGGCUAAAUACUCCUGACUGACCGAUAGUGAACCAGUACCGUGAGGGAAAGGCGAAAAGAACCCCGGCGAGGGGAGUGAAAAAGAACCUGAAACCGUGUACGUACAAGCAGUGGGAGCACAGAGCAAUCUGUGUGACUGCGUACCUUUUGUAUAAUGGGUCAGCGACUUAUAUUCUGUAGCAAGGUUAACCGAAUAGGGGAGCCGAAGGGAAACCGAGUCUUAACUGGGCGUUAAGUUGCAGGGUAUAGACCCGAAACCCGGUGAUCUAGCCAUGGGCAGGUUGAAGGUUGGGUAACACUAACUGGAGGACCGAACCGACUAAUGUUGAAAAAUUAGCGGAUGACUUGUGGCUGGGGGUGAAAGGCCAAUCAAACCGGGAGAUAGCUGGUUCUCCCCGAAAGCUAUUUAGGUAGCGCCUCGUGAAUUCAUCUCCGGGGGUAGAGCACUGUUUCGGCAAGGGGGUCAUCCCGACUUACCAACCCGAUGCAAACUGCGAAUACCGGAGAAUGUUAUCACGGGAGACACACGGCGGGUGCUAACGUCCGUCGUGAAGAGGGAAACAACCCAGACCGCCAGCUAAGGUCCCAAAGUCAUGGUUAAGUGGGAAACGAUGUGGGAAGGCCCAGACAGCCAGGAUGUUGGCUUAGAAGCAGCCAUCAUUUAAAGAAAGCGUAAUAGCUCACUGGUCGAGUCGGCCUGCGCGGAAGAUGUAACGGGGCUAAACCAUGCACCGAAGCUGCGGCAGCGACGCUGAUGCGUUGUUGGGUAGGGGAGCGUUCUGUAAGCCUGUGAAGGUGUGCUGUGAGGCAUGCUGGAGGUAUCAGAAGUGCGAAUGCUGACAUAAGUAACGAUAAAGCGGGUGAAAAGCCCGCUCGCCGGAAGACCAAGGGUUCCUGUCCAACGUUAAUCGGGGCAGGGUGAGUCGACCCCUAAGGCGAGGCCGAAAGGCGUAGUCGAUGGGAAACAGGUUAAUAUUCCUGUACUUGGUGUUACUGCGAAGGGGGACGGAGAAGGCUAUGUUGGCCGGGCGACGGUUGUCCCGGUUUAAGCGUGUAGGCUGGUUUUCCAGGCAAAUCCGGAAAAUCAAGGCUGAGGCGUGAUGACGAGGCACUACGGUGCUGAAGCAACAAAUGCCCUGCUUCCAGGAAAAGCCUCUAAGCAUCAGGUAACAUCAAAUCGUACCCCAAACCGACACAGGUGGUCAGGUAGAGAAUACCAAGGCGCUUGAGAGAACUCGGGUGAAGGAACUAGGCAAAAUGGUGCCGUAACUUCGGGAGAAGGCACGCUGAUAUGUAGGUGAAGUCCCUCGCGGAUGGAGCUGAAAUCAGUCGAAGAUACCAGCUGGCUGCAACUGUUUAUUAAAAACACAGCACUGUGCAAACACGAAAGUGGACGUAUACGGUGUGACGCCUGCCCGGUGCCGGAAGGUUAAUUGAUGGGGUUAGCGCAAGCGAAGCUCUUGAUCGAAGCCCCGGUAAACGGCGGCCGUAACUAUAACGGUCCUAAGGUAGCGAAAUUCCUUGUCGGGUAAGUUCCGACCUGCACGAAUGGCGUAAUGAUGGCCAGGCUGUCUCCACCCGAGACUCAGUGAAAUUGAACUCGCUGUGAAGAUGCAGUGUACCCGCGGCAAGACGGAAAGACCCCGUGAACCUUUACUAUAGCUUGACACUGAACAUUGAGCCUUGAUGUGUAGGAUAGGUGGGAGGCUUUGAAGUGUGGACGCCAGUCUGCAUGGAGCCGACCUUGAAAUACCACCCUUUAAUGUUUGAUGUUCUAACGUUGACCCGUAAUCCGGGUUGCGGACAGUGUCUGGUGGGUAGUUUGACUGGGGCGGUCUCCUCCUAAAGAGUAACGGAGGAGCACGAAGGUUGGCUAAUCCUGGUCGGACAUCAGGAGGUUAGUGCAAUGGCAUAAGCCAGCUUGACUGCGAGCGUGACGGCGCGAGCAGGUGCGAAAGCAGGUCAUAGUGAUCCGGUGGUUCUGAAUGGAAGGGCCAUCGCUCAACGGAUAAAAGGUACUCCGGGGAUAACAGGCUGAUACCGCCCAAGAGUUCAUAUCGACGGCGGUGUUUGGCACCUCGAUGUCGGCUCAUCACAUCCUGGGGCUGAAGUAGGUCCCAAGGGUAUGGCUGUUCGCCAUUUAAAGUGGUACGCGAGCUGGGUUUAGAACGUCGUGAGACAGUUCGGUCCCUAUCUGCCGUGGGCGCUGGAGAACUGAGGGGGCUGCUCCUAGUACGAGAGGACCGGAGUGGACGCAUCACUGGUGUUCGGGUUGUCAUGCCAAUGGCACUGCCCGGUAGCUAAAUGCGGAAGAGAUAAGUGCUGAAAGCAUCUAAGCACGAAACUUGCCCCGAGAUGAGUUCUCCCUGACUCCUUGAGAGUCCUGAAGGAACGUUGAAGACGACGACGUUGAUAGGCCGGGUGUGUAAGCGCAGCGAUGCGUUGAGCUAACCGGUACUAAUGAACCGUGAGGCUUAACCUUACAACGCCGAAGGUGUUU